CCUACGGGAGGCUGCAGUAACGAAUCUUCCGCAAUGCGCGAAAGCGUGACGGAGCAAUGCCGCGUGCAGGAUGAAGCCCUUCGGGGUGUAAACUGCUGUCAGGGUUUAGGAAGACAGUGACCAAACCCAAAGGAAGAGGCGACUAACUCUGUGCCAGCAGUCGCGGUAAUACAGAGGCCUCGAGCGUUAAUCGGAUUCAUUGGGCUUAAAGCGUACGUAGGCGGACAUGCAGGCAUGUUGUGAAAUCCCCCGGCUCAACUGGGGAAUUGCUUCGUGAACCGCAUGUCUAGAGGCAAGUAGGGGCGGUCGGAACGAUAGGUGGAGCGGUGAAAUGCGUUGAUAUCUAUCGGAACGCCAAAGGUGAAAACAGGCCGCUGGGCUUGUUCUGACGCUGAGGUACGAAAGCGUGGGGAGCAAACGGGAUUAGAUACCCUUGUAGU
rnacentral:rRNA from 1 species